CUGACUAAUAUCCAAGGCCAUAUUUUAUAGUCAGCUAAAGCAAUGCACUUGUUCUCAUGAUAUCCAGUACAAAUAAUUCAAAAACACACUGAAGUCAAACUCGAAAGCAUGUCUGGUUCACCAUAGCAACUAGGAAGCAAGAGCCCAUGACAGAGUAAGGUGGUGGCAGACUUGUAUCACCAUUUACUGCUUUGAAGCAAGGUGUAUUAACACUUGGUGUGGAAAAUGAACAGCACAAAGCAAGGAUAGAACAGCCUGCAAUGGUCAUAGACAAUCUUGUGGGACAGACAUGUAACCGUGUUUGGCGUUGGUCUGAUCGCACACACGUAUUCACCUAUAGUGUUUGCUGAAUUCUUGUAUGAUGACAUGAGAGCCUCCAUAUGAAAGUAGUAGGUUCUCAGUCUAAUUUCCAGAGGACAAAUAUCCACAUCACAAAAUUAAUACUAAUUGUCCCUGUCAUGGAAGACUCAGCAGAGAAGCCAAGGACUGAAUAGGCCACAGGGAUUGAACUCUCGCCCCAUCAGAGAGAGAGUGUCCAAGUCAGCCUAGUGGUUUUUCCCAACUCCACUUCUGCUAAUGGUCACUGUACAAAGAGUUAUGGGCAAAUAUUGGCUCGGAUACUGAUGGCAUCAAGGGCAAAAGCCUGGGUCUUGCACAAUGCCCUAGUAAAUAGGUUUUGUGGAGGAGAUCUCUGCAGGGGUUGGAAUCCUCCCUUCUCCCAGUCGCGCACCACCAGAAGGAGCUGGUCUGUGGCUGUUACUGUAGCCUCAAUGAGCUACCAUUCCAGUGUUAGCGCCUUUCUGAAGAAGGAGAGCGUGACGCGCACAAUUUAUUCCAAGCUAAAUUGCCUACCCUGCCCAGAAGGCUUCAUUUUAUUUAUGGGAAAAUAUACUUGUUAAUAAUCUCACAGAAAUGAUCUAACUGGGGAAAAGUCUCCUCUGACUAAAUCCAUUCUAAUUAACUAUUUGGCAAAAUGUUUAGGCAGGAGAACUGACUCUGAACUGAUUCCUGACAGAGCAGAUUUUGCAUGGGUCUUAACAGUCGCACUGCUGGCAUCCGUUUGUUUUGAGAACAUUUUCAAACCAAAUUAUGAGUUACAAAAGCAGCUCCACUCUAUGCACUUUCUCAUCCCUAAAGUUGACUGUUACAGGCCCAACAGGAAUUAAAUAAGAACAGCCAAUGCUACAGGGAACCCAAAAAACAACAAACAAGGGUGGAGUAAGAAUAACUCAUGCUGUAAAGAAUCAUCGUAGUUGCUGAACAGUUCUGUAAAAUUAAAAGGGAAGCUGAGCAAAAAAACAAACAACUCAACCCAGCACACAAACAAUCUAGCAUGCAGCUGGGUGAAGGGAUCCGUAGUGACUGAAAAUGUUCACGAAGGAAUUCCACAAAGCCAUUGCACAUCACAAAUACUAAUUACUCACACUCAAGCAGGGACUUGUUUUCUUAGGAUCUGAUUCUCCAAGGGGCUCUGCACCCCUUUUUUCUCUCCACAAAUUCAGGGGGAAUUCAGGGCAUUCAACACCACUCAGGAGAGACCCAGCACCUCACAGGACUGGACACUUUGUAAGGACCUGAUCUUGCUCCCAUUACAUUACAUGAAAGCAAUCACAAUGAAAUCCGUGCAAGCAGGAUCAGUGAAUGAAAACACUCUUUUAAACAGGCAUAUAGUAAAGCACGAUAAGGACAUUGCAAUAUCUUCUAUUUUGUUGUUUAUUAAAUGUGAAUUUAUUCUAUCCAUUUAUUCAUAAUUCUCAGCAGGAACAGGAAAUUUUAUGCAAGAUUAAAGUUUAUGGAACAUCUUAAUAUACAGAACUGUAAAUCCACAAACUAAAAAACCAUUCAGGCAAAUUUCAGUUGCCACAAAUGUUAGGGAGCAGAGGUUUGAUAGUAUCUUCU
rnacentral:lncRNA from 1 species